UACAGAGGUCUCAAGCGUUGUUCGGAUUCAUUGGGCGUAAAGGGUGCGUAGGCGGAUCGUUAAGUCGGGGGUGAAAUCCUGGAGCUCAACUCCAGAACUGCCUUCGAUACUGGCGAUCUUGAGUCCGGAAGAGGUGAGUGGAACUCCUAGUGUAGAGGUGGAAUUCGUAGAUAUUAGGAAGAACACCAGUGGCGAAGGCGGCUCACUGGUCCGGUACUGACGCUGAGGUGCGAAAGCGUGGGGAGCAAACAGG
rnacentral:rRNA from 1 species